rnacentral:misc_RNA from 1 species
UAGGGAGACCUAAUCCAUUUAGAAAUCGAAAACAAUGAAAAUUGUCAAUAGAAACUAAAUUGGUCUAACCUAGGUCGUUCGAGAUUGGUAGACAUCUUUCAAAGUAUUAUUCGGCUUCGUUCAAAACCAUAUAUAAUAAAUGGAAAAAGACAGCACCUAAUUGUCAAAGUUAGACUGCUGGAUGAAGUUCCAGCCAGAACCUUGAAAACUGCAUAAGAGAACAAGAAAAAGCAGGCAGACACAGACAUUUAGAUGGACGUGGAAGCAAAAGAAAUUGU